UACGUAGGGAGCAAGCGUUGUCCGGAAUCAUUGGGCGUAAAGCGCGCGUAGGUGGCCCCAUAAGUCCGCUGUGAAAGUCAAAGGCUCAACCUUUGAAAGCCGGUGGAUACUGUGGGACUAGAGUACGGAAGAGGCGAGUGGAAUUCCUGGUGUAGCGGUGGAAUGCGCAGAUAUCAGGAGGAACACCGAUGGCGAAGGCAGGUCUCUGGGCCACUACUGACGCUAAGAAGCGAAAGCAUGGGGAGCGAACAGG
rnacentral:rRNA from 1 species